GGGGAWUUUUGCACAWUGGGCGAAAGCCUGAUGCAGCUAUSCCGCGUGUAUGAAGAAGGCCUUAGGGUUGUAAAGUACUUCCAACAAGAAAGAACUAAUAAAAUUUAAUAAAUUUUAUUAUUGACGUUACUUGUAAAAGAAGCACCGGCUAACUCCGUGCCAGCAGCCGCGGUAAUACGGAGGGUGCGAGCGUUAAUCGGAAUUACUGGGCGUAAAGAGCACGUAGGCGGUAUAUUAAGUCAGAUGUGAAAUCCCUGAGCUCAACUUAGGAAUUGCAUUUGAAACUGAUAUACUUGAGUUUCGUAGAGGGGGGUAGAAUUCCAGGUGUAGCGGUGAAAUGCGUAGAUAUCUGGAGGAAUACCAGUGGCGAAGGCGACCCCCUGGACGAAUACUGACGCUCAGGUGCGAAAGCAUGGGUAGCAAACAGGAUUAGAUACCCUGGUAGUCCAUGCUGUAAACGAUGUCGACUUGGAGGUUGUAAGCUUGACUUGUAACUUUCGUAGCUAACGCGUUAAGUCGACCGCCUGGGGAGUACGACCGCAAGGUUAAAACUCAAAUGAAUUGACGGGGGCCCGCACAAGCGGUGGAGCAUGUGGUUUAAUUCGAUGCAACGCGAAAAACCUUACCUGGUCUUGACAUCCAUGGAAUUUAGUAGAGAUACUUUAGUGCUUCGGGAACCAUGAGACAGGUGCUGCAUGGCUGUCGUCAGCUCGUGUUGUGAAAUGUUGGGUUAAGUCCCGCAACGAGCGCAACCCUUGUCCUUUGUUGCCAACGGUUCGGCCGGGAACUCAAAGGAAACUGCCGGUGAUAAACCGGAGGAAGGUGGGGACGACGUCAAGUCAUCAUGGCCCUUACGACCAGGGCUACACACGUGCUACAAUGGUAUAUACAAAGGGAAGCAUCCUCGCGAGAGUAAGCGGAUCUCACAAAAUAUAUCGUAGUUCGGAUUGGAGUCUGCAACUCGACUCCAUGAAGUCGGAAUCGCUAGUAAUCGUAGAUCAGAACGCUACGGUGAAUACGUUCCCGGNCCUUGUACACACCNCC
rnacentral:rRNA from 1 species